UGUGGAGCUGCCAGAGUAAAGCAAAGAGAAAGGAAGCAGGCCCGUUGGAAGUGGUUGUGACAACCCCAGCAAUGUGGAGAAGCCUGGGGCUUGCCCUGGCUCUCUGUCUCCUCCCAUCGGGAGGAACAGAGAGCCAGGACCAAAGCUCCUUAUGUAAGCAACCCCCAGCCUGGAGCAUAAGAGAUCAAGAUCCAAUGCUAAACUCCAAUGGUUCAGUGACUGUGGUUGCUCUUCUUCAAGCCAGCUGAUACCUGUGCAUACUGCAGGCAUCUAAAUUAGAAGACCUGCGAGUAAAACUGAAGAAAGAAGGAUAUUCUAAUAUUUCUUAUAUUGUUGUUAAUCAUCAAGGAAUCUCUUCUCGAUUAAAAUACACACAUCUUAAGAAUAAGGUUUCAGAGCAUAUUCCUGUUUAUCAACAAGAAGAAAACCAAACAGAUGUCUGGACUCUUUUAAAUGGAAGCAAAGAUGACUUCCUCAUAUAUGAUAGACUCUCAAAGAUGAAGACUUUUGUAAACGUGUAUCUUUGGCUACUGUGGAUAAAACAGUUGAAACUCCAUCGCCUCAUUACCAUCAUGAGCAUCAUCACAAUCAUGGACAUCAGCACCUUGGCAGCAGUGAGCUUUCAGAGAAUCAGCAACCAGGAGCACCAAAUGCUCCUACUCAUCCUGCUCCUCCAGGCCUUCAUCACCACCAUAAGCACAAGGGUCAGCAUAG
rnacentral:lncRNA from 1 species